UCUUUUAAUUUCAUGGCUUCAGUUUCCAUCUGUAGUGAUUUUGGAGCCCAAACAAAUAAAAGUCUCACACUGUACCACCCUACUCUUGGGUAUUUGUGUAGGUGGCCUCUGACUUUGCAUCCUGAGUGCUUUGAUAGUACCCACUCCUUUCAGGUCACUGCCCUCAUGUCAGACCUUCAUUUUCUUAUGUCUGGACUUGUCUUCACAGCCAGUUACCCGUCUCCCUGUCUCCAGCCCUGUGACUGUCCAUCACUGUCUACACCACAGCCAGAGCAUCCUUCUGAAGCACGACAUCUAUCUUCAUCACUUUCCACUCCCCAGAUACUAAAACCCCCACCAGGUGAGAAAAGUUAACUGUAUGCUGACCACCAGCAGAUAGACCCCAGAGUGGUUGGAACCUGGAGACUGAGGAUGUUGAAUUCCAGUUACCUCACCAUCAACCAAUCAGAAGGAUAUCCACAAGCUCAUCACAUACCUCACAACCCCUGUCCCUCACCCUGUCUCUAAAAACCUUUCUCUGAAAGCCACUGGGGACUUUGGGCCUUUUGAAAACUAGCUGCCUGCACUCCUUUCUUGGCACCCUGCAAUAAACACUGCACUUUGCUUCACCGAAACCCAGGGGCAAUAGAUGGGCUUUACCGCUCCCAGGCGAGCAGACCCGAGCUUGCUUUUGUAACAGAUACAUGGCUCUAUGGAGACCGUUGCUAUUUGUCAUUUAAAUGAAAGACUAAGUUAUGUUUAAUGUAGUUUAUUUUCCAGUACAUUGCUUGAUUUAUCCUAACCCAUACAAUCAUAGCGUUUGUCAUACAUUUUACAAAAAGAACCAAUUCAUUCUUUUGUUGUUGCAAAAAGAUUUAAGUGAUCAAUAGCUUGGAGCUGAAGAGGCUAAUCAGUUUUACAAAUCAAAAUAAUACCUUGUAAAGCUAAAUAGCAUGUGUCUCCACAGUUGAAUUGUGUCAGAUUCUAUAGCACAAGAAACAGUACUUUGCUGGCCUGCUAGAUACCUCCUCAGAGCUUUAGGCAAAUCACUUCAGCUAGAAUCUAUGGUUCAUAAUAACAAAGAGAAGUCAAGCGUAUACAAAGAGGAAUGCGUAUUUCAAGAAUGUGCUUCUGGCAUUUAAUCCACUAAAUUAUCUCCUAAACUAUUUCUUUGCUAUUUUAAGUAGGUGCUUUGGGGACACAUCAAUAUGAUUUGUGGAUAUUUGAAGCAGGUCAGGAAAUGGCAGGAAGUGCCCUGAUUACCUCUCGAUGUUUCUGUUGCCCCUGAAGUGCUAGAGAUUGCAUUCACAACAUAAGGUUUGUCAGACAAAUGAGACCCUUCUCUACCCUCUCUACUGUUGUGUCCUGCACCCCCAUCAUCUCCUGUAGCCCCAGUUUUAUGCCUACAUGGCUCUCGCUUUGGCAUCGGCCUACCUGUGUCUCUCUAGAUCACCGCUCUGCACAUACCAGGGGGUGCCUGCACACUCAUCUUCAACGACCAGUCGUCAGGUGGAAUAGGAAA